rnacentral:tRNA from 1 species
AAUAAAGUGCCUGAAUAAAGGAUUAUUCUGAUAGAAUAAAUUAUGUAAAAUAUUUACCUUUAUUA